UACGGAGGGGGCUAGCGUUGUUCGGAAUUACUGGGCGUAAAGCGCACGUAGGCGGAUCGUUAAGUCGGGGGUGAAAUCCUGGAGCUCAACUCCAGAACUGCCUUCGAUACUGGCGAUCUAGAGUCCGGAAGAGGUGAGUGGAACUCCUAGUGUAGAGGUGGAAUUCGUAGAUAUUCGGAGGAACACCAGUGGCGAAGGCGGCUCACUGGCUCGGUACUGACGCUGAGGUGCGAAAGCGUGGGGAGCAAACAGG
rnacentral:rRNA from 1 species